UACGUAGGGUGCGAGCGUUGUCCGGAAUUACUGGGCGUAAAGAGCUCGUAGGUGGUUUGUCGCGUUGUCCGUGAAAACUCACAACUCAAUUGUGGGCGUGCGGGCGAUACGGGCAGACUGGAGUACUGCAGGGGAGACUGGAAUUCCUGGUGUAGCGGCGGAAUGCGCAGAUAUCAGGAGGAACACCGGUGGCGAAGGCGGGUCUCUGGGCAGUAACUGACGCUGAGGCGCGACAGCGUGGGGAGCAAACAGG
rnacentral:rRNA from 1 species